GACGAACGCUGGCGGCGUGCUUAACACAUGCAAGUCGAGCGAAUGGAUUAAGAGUUUGCUCUUAUGAAGUUAGCGGCGGACGGGUGAGUAACACGUGGGUAACCUGCCCAUAAGACUGGGAUAACUCCGGGAAACCGGGGCUAAUACCGGAUAACAUUUUGAACCGCAUGGUUCGAAAUUGAAAGGCGGCUUCGGCUGUCACUUAUGGAUGGACCCGCGUCGCAUUAGCUAGUUGGUGAGGUAACGGCUCACCAAGGCAACGAUGCGUAGCCGACCUGAGAGGGUGAGCGGCCACACUGGGACUGAGACACGGCCCAGACUCCUACGGGAGGCAGCAGUAGGGAAUCUUCCGCAAUGGACGAAAGUCUGACGGAGCAACGCCGCGUGAGUGAUGAAGGCUUUCGGGUCGUAAAACUCUGUUGUUAGGGAAGAACAAGUGCUAGUUGAAUAAGCUGGCACCUUGACGGUACCUAACCAGAAAGCCACGGCUAACUACGUGCCAGCAGCCGCAGUAA
rnacentral:rRNA from 1 species